rnacentral:lncRNA from 1 species
GAUACAUGAUCCCUUAAUUCAGGCUCAGGCUGAAGAACUGACCCACUUACGACAGAAGAUACAGGAAGGGAGAGGUGUCUGCUACCUUUUCACCCAGCAUGUGAAGAACACAGUCAAGUCUUUUGAGGGCCUUCUCAGGAACACUGACAUUGCCUACUACCAGAGACAGAGAUUCUGUGAGCAAAUGGUACAAGGAAGCCAGCUGACAGAGAUCCUUGUCAGAAAACUUGCCACAGAGUCUUGCUCUCUUACCCAAGCUGGAGUGCAGUGACAUGAUCUUGGCUGACUGCAAUCUGUGCCUCCUGGGCUCAAGCAAUCUUCCCACCUCAGCCUCCCAAGUAGCUGGGACUACAGAAUCAACCCCAAUGCUCACUAACAAACUGAGAAGAAAAAAAAAGAAUUACCCCCAACAACAUCUGAGGAAGCACAACAGGGACAGACUUGAAGGCACCUGGGCAGUCCUCUGGUUUUGGAGUAGAGAAAAUCACAAUGGUAAGAAAAAUGAAGACAGGCAAAAGCCACUGGCUCCCAGGAUGCACCUCUAACCUCUACAGGCAAAUCAUAGAUUCCAUUGUCCAGCUGUAUAAUGAAAACAGAGUUCUCAGAGAAGAAUACCGGAGACUCCCCCGACUUGCCUGAAUCAAAUUUCCAGAG